AGAAGGAAACAAAAAUAAACCAUUUUCUUCCCUCCACUACCUUUUUUGUUGCAGAUGGAGUGAGAAGAGAAGAAGCAAAGGGAAAAAAACAACAACCACUGUCACCAAGUGUAAGAAACACACGCACAAACACUUGGCGUGCCUCUUCAUGACUGUAGUUGUUGCGUUCAUAGCUAUAGAGAGAGAAGGUGAAUGAAACGGGGUUUGGUUAUGCCUUUGGAAAACCUUAAUCUGAUAUGUAUCAGAGCAGCAUUGGCGCACACCGCCUCGCCUACCGCUCUCACAUAUCCAAGUUUGUAAAAGCCGGUCUCAUCAACCACGCGAUCCACCUGUUCGACCAAAUGACCCAAUCCAAUUGCCGCGUCUUCAGCGUCGACUACAACCGCUUCAUCGGCGUCCUCAUUCGUCACUCCCGCCUCCACCACGCCCACCACUACUACCGCCACCACGUCAUCCCUCGCGGCUUCUCCCUCCUCCCCUUCACCUACUCCCGCUUCAUCUCAGCCCUCUGCUCCUCCCCCAACAACCUCCCCGUCAUCCAGGACCUCCUCCUCGACUUGCAUGCUCUCGGCUUCGUCCCCGACAUUUGGGCCUUCAACACUUACCUCAGCUUCUUGUGCCGCCACAAUCGCUUAGAAACCGCCCUCGAACUCUUCCACUCCGUGCCCUCCAAGGGGAGAGAGCCCGACGUUGUUUCUUAUACUAUUAUCGUUGACGCGUUGUGCAAAGCUCAACGCUUCGACGAGGCUGCUAGGGUUUGGCGUGGUUUGACUGGCAAAGGUUUGAGCCCUGAUUUUAAAGCCUGUGUUGCUAUUGUUGUUGGUUUGUGCGGUGGGGGUCGCGUUGAUUUGGCCUAUGAGCUUGUUGUCGAUGUGAUCAAGGGUGGGGUGAAGGUUAAUAUCUUGGUUUACAAUGCUUUGAUUGAUGGGUUUUGUAGAAUGGGAAGGGUUGAUAAGGCGAUGAAGAUUAAAGCGUUUAUGAGCCGCAAUGGGUGUGUGCCGGAUUUGGUUACUUAUAAUAUACUGUUGAAUUACUGUUGUGACGAGGGGAUGGUGGAUGAUGCCCUGCGGAUGGUGGAGACAAUGGAGCGGAGCGGGGCGGAGCCGGAUUUGUAUAGCUAUAAUGAGCUGUUGAAAUGUUUUUGCAAGGCUAAUAUGGUGGACAAGGCUUAUAUGAUGCUGGUUGAGAGGAUGCAGACCAAAGGACUGUGUGAUGUUGUUUCGUAUAAUACUCUUAUCACAGCAUUCUGUAAGUUGCGCCGUACUAGGAGAGGUUAUGAGUUGUUUGAGGAGAUGUGUGGGAAGGGGAUUAGGCCAGAUAUGGUGACGUUUAAUAUACUUAUUGAUGCCUUUCUAAGAGAAGGAAGUAUCCAAGUGGUUAAGAAACUGCUUGAUGAAAUGACAAGGGUGAGCAUUCUUCCUGAUCGUAUAUUCUAUACUGCAGUAGUUGAUCAUAUGUGCAAGACUGGAAAGGUUGAUACGGCUCAUAGUGUUUUCCGUGACAUGGUGGAGAAUGGGGUAAAUCCGGAUGUAAUCUCUUACAAUGCACUUGUAAAUGGAUUCUGUAAGGCUUCUAGAGUUAUGGAAGCCAUGCGUCUAUAUGAUGAAAUGCAGAGGAAUGGUUUGUACCCUGAUGAGGUAACUUUCAAGUUGAUAGUUGGAGGGCUUAUAAAUGGGAAAAAACUUUCACUGGCCUGUAGGGUUUGGGAUCAGAUGAUGGAGAAAGGCUUAACACUUGACAGGCAUCUUUCUGAGACUCUAGUAAAUGCCAUUCAAUCAAGUGAAGGUGCAUGAACAUGGCCCUAGUUUACGUUGUUAUCCUCUCAAAUUCAUCACAUUUUUCUUUCAAAAGGGAAACAUGACAUAAAACAUUUUCUCUGGAUACAAUGCACCAAAGCUUAGCAAAGUCGACUUCAAACAUUUUCUGCAGCAUGGAACUUCAGCCUUCUCUAAAGAAAUGUUACCGUGAUCAUUACAAUUAUUCAAAGUAUGUUUCUACUUUUUUUAAUUCAGCACAUUCAUUUAUUAGAGAGCUAUUAUAUUCAGUAUGAUUUUGUCGACCAAUGGAACAAAACAAACAAAAUAUCGUAAGGAAAAAAUGGAUGUAUGAAUCAUUUAAAAGGUUGCAUUGUGUUUCAGAACGCUGUUGAGAAUCAAUGGAGACUGACUGGAAACUGCAAUAUCUAAAGUUAUUUGGUAAAUUUUCACAUUUGUCAGUGGACUGCUUUAUAGUUCAUUUAUGCGAGAGACUCUUAAAUUAAAAUAACGCUUUCUGCAGUUGGCAGUUGUUACAUUUAGGUAGAUAAUAUCAUGGUGCUGUGUAUUCUCUGUAGUUGUAUUGAACCUAAGGAAUUAGAACAUGUUUUGACUGCAACUUUGAUUAUUUGUUUGAUUUGGGAAGGUGGGGGAAGGGUUGAUAUCUGGUUUUUGUCUAUGAAACAAAAUAAGUAUAUGAUAUCAAUGUUCCCUAGUUCAUUGCAUGCUGGUAUUUCCUUGUUGAUAGAUUCUACCCUAGACGACGUUGAACCUUGGAACAGAUUAGCUGAAUGACAACUGCAACCAGCACAAAAAGCAGUUUGCAGAUUGGUUUGAUACACAAUUGAAGAAACACAAGUAAAAGGGGCUAAGAGUAAGUUCAGGUGAAGGACAUAAGUUUGAUGAUUUCCCGAUGGUAGUGAAUCAUCUAGGAUCACCAUCCAACCAACUUCUGGAGUAGGAAAGAAAAAUCGGAAAUGAUUAAGAAAAUGCCAUGUUGGUUCAAAUGCCAGUAAAUUUAUUGUAUUAAGAAAACUAGUUUCAAAACUGCUACAUUUUAGAGUUCGUUUGGAAAAGUGCAGUGUUGAGAUUGGGUUGACAACUCCAUUCAUUCACUCACUUUCUUGACUGUGUAUUAAUCAAAGAUUUUCAUUUCAAUGACAAAUAUUUCUCCAAUGUGGUAUCCCAAGCCCUUCAUUCAAACAUAUUAUUACACAAAUUGUAGAAAUUCCUAACCAGCUCCGUUUCUAAUAUAAUCCCAGGCCAUAAAAUGAAAGUGGGCUUAAAAUUGUGUGAAUAUAUGAUAGAAGGAAAAGAAAUACAUUAUUUCCUGCAGUAUUGAACAUCAUCAGACCGGGAAUAAUCAAUUGCGAGGUCUGUAGUCAAAGUUUUGUGACAAAUUUACAGAUGAAACAGUGUUUGAUUUCCUGCAUUUCUUUUGUCGCAGGCUUCUCGCUGAAUUCCUAUUUAAUCCAUGUUGAAGUUUUAUACUUUCUAGAUUACUGUGUAUUUGGGUCCUAUACUUGCUUUGCCUUCCAUUGCUUUAAUGUUGGGCAUCUAAAGAAUAUCAAAAUCAUGUCUCCGUUCUGUUGGAAUUUCUUUUGUUUAGAUCAUCUAAAACAUGGGUACUUGA